rnacentral:rRNA from 1 species
GACGAACGCUGGCGGCGUGCUUAACACAUGCAAGUCGAACGGAGUGGCGAACGGGUGAGUAACACGUGGGUGAUCUGCCUUGCACUUCGGGAUAAGCUUGGGAAACUGGGUCUAAUACCGGAUAGUGCAAGAUGAGCUCGCGGCCUAUCAGCUUGUUGGUGGGGUAAUGGCCUACCAAGUCGUCGACGGGUAGCCGGCCUGAGAGGGGGUACGGCCUCAUUGUGACUGAGAUACGGGCCAGACCCCUACGGGAGGAAGCAGCGGGGAAUAUUGACCUAUGGUCGGAAGCCUGAGUCAGCGACGCCGCGUGGGGGAUGAAGGCCUUCGGGUUGUAAACUCCUUUCGACAGGGACGCGGUACCUGUAUAAGAAGCACCGGCUAACUACGUGCCAGCAGCCGCGGUAAUUC